rnacentral:rRNA from 1 species
GUCUAUAGCCAUCCCACCCUGAGCACUCCCAAUCUCAUCUGAUCUUGGAAGCUAAGCAGGGUCAGGACUGGUUACUACUUGAAUGGGAGAUUUGGGAUUUUACAGUUAAAAAGA